UUNUAUGCCAGUUGUCUAGGAACUACAGC
rnacentral:piRNA from 1 species